GCCCUUAUGGCUCAGGGGUAAAGCGUAUCACUCGUAAUGAUAAGAUCCUCGGUUCAAAUCCGAGUGAGGGCA
rnacentral:tRNA from 1 species